CCUACGUGCGGCAGCAGUGGGGAAUAUUGCACACUGGGGUAAACCCUGAUGCAUCGACGCCGCGUGAGUGAAUACGUAUUUCGGUAUGUAAAGCUCUAUCCGCAUGGAAGAAAAUGACGGUCCCUGAUUAAGAAGCCCCGGCUCACUACGUGCCAGCAGCCGCGGUAAUACGUAGGGGGCAAGCGUUAUCCGGAUUUCCUGGGUGUAAAGGGAGCGUAGACGGCAGCACAAGUCUGGAGUGAAAUGCCGGUGCUUAACCCCGGAACUGCUUUGGAAACUGUGCAGCUAGAGUGCAGGAGAGGUAAGUGGAAUUCCUAGUGUAGCGGUGAAAUGCGUAGAUAUUAGGAGGAACACCAGUGGCGAAGGCGGCUUACUGGACUGUAACUGACGUUGAGGCUCGAAAGCGUGGGGAGCAAACAGGAUUAGAUACCCUUGUAGUC
rnacentral:rRNA from 1 species